rnacentral:lncRNA from 1 species
GGACUGUGGCUAUAUCGCUGACCUCAAGAAAACCUGCGGACAAAAUCUGCUAAAGAAGUAUCAGCAUCUAUUUCAAAAGUUAGCCAUUAUUUUAAGAAGACUGUGCUGGAAGACGGGUAUUUAACACAAACAGAUGCAAAAGAUACGGGGUUUCACCGUGUUGACCAGACUGAUUUUGAACUUCUGGGCUCAAUCAGUCCACCUGCCUCGGCCUCCCAAAGUGCUGAGAUUAUAGGUGUGAGCCCCUGCGCCUGGCCAGGGAUGCCGUUCUUCACUCUCCAGUAAGCAGAAUGGCUCCAGAAGGGAGGGCGAGGGCUAAGGGGCAGAGGCCUGAAGUCCUGUUUGCUUUAUCUUCUGGUUUCAGUGUGUGUGCAGGGCUGCGAGCGCUGGCAGGGGCAUCUGGCUGCCCGAGGCACACACGGGUCAUGCUCACUCUCAUCCUGGGGCUCUGAGCGAGGGUGACACUGAGCCCAGAUGCGGUGACUCUUUCUUCCACAGCUUUGAGUAAAUUUCUUCCAGAGACAUCUGCAUCUUGGCGCGGCUUGGCUUUGCAGCACCUGGGCACUGGCUGGAGUCAAGGUCCCACUUGUGUUUGGGGACCUGCCUAGCCCACCGGUAUCAUGACUGGGCCACUCAUGGGACUCAUGAUCAGAUCCUGACUAGCUUUUUUCUAUAUUUUCCCAAAGGAGUUCUGCUCCAUUUUUCUAACUAAAUAGUUAGUGGAAGGCCCUAGUACCCUAGACCUUUUAAAAAGUCCCUUGAUACAUUGAGCUGAGCAUAGCUAUUGCUUACAAACAUUUACUGAAUUCGUACACCGUAAAUCAACAGGCAUUUAUGUCAGCUCACUUAAAUGUUAGCUCUUCAUUUAGCCAGCUACCAAGAAUAAAUGUCAAAAAGAGAACUUUGUAAUUCCUGGCUAAAAGGGGAGAAGACAUUUAAUUGGAAAUUAUGGAGCUCACAGCUGGCUUUCUUGGAACUUAUAGAUGAAAUUAAAAGUGUAUGGCCAAGCCUACCAACAAAACCCCCAAACCAUUACUUCUCCUUUGACACAUCAUUCAUGAAAUGAAGGAAUUAGAGAGAUCACCCAGUCCACACUUAUCUCCAAGCUGAAUUGCACCCAAGGCUGGAAGAAACAAAUGGAGCCCAUGGCAUUCAAAUUUCUGUGCCCUUCUCUCCUCUCCUUGGUUCUCUCCCAUGUUUUGUCAAACUUCCCACACCCAGCUCCUUAACCAAAGGGACUGGCUAGGUCAGGCAGAGGUUGAGUCAAGAGUGCUCAGGUGUCCCAGGAUGACUGUCAAGAGUGGUGGCAGCUCUCCUAUGUCUCAGCCCCCCAGGAGCACCUCAGCCCUGCAACGGCAUCAAACUGGGUGGCACACACUAGUAUGGAGCCAGAAAUCAGUCAGUGGGAAUAUGAUGCACCCAAUUUUACAGUGACUGUGUCCUGAAACUCCCUGUCCUUUGUUCUUUCAACAAAUAUCAGGCACUAUAGGAGUUCCUGGAGGAUACUGGUCUGAAGUUAGCAUGAUCUUGACUCAAGAAACUUAUAGUCCUGAUAAGAACUUCCACCAGAAUUCCAGAUAAGGCAGCACAGGCCUUGCUGUUUGCCCAUGCCCAUGCGGUCAGCUCUCUUGGGUACCGUGGCAUGCAGAUGCAGACACUCACCCAAGACACCCUGUAGUGCUGAUUACUGGCUGAAGACACUGAAUAUCUGAUAUAGUUUGGAUGUUUGACCCCUCCAAAUCUCAUGUUGAAACUAGAUUCCCAGUGUUGGAGGUGGGGCCCGGUGGGAGGUGUUUGGAUUGUGGGAUUGGAUCCCUUAUGGCCAUCUUGGUGCCAUCCUUGUGGUAAUGAGCAAGUUCUUUAUCUACUAGUUCCUGAGCGAUCUGGUUGCUAAAAAGAGUCUAGCAGCAUCAUCCGCUCCCUCUCCUCCUCUCUUACCAUGUGAUAUGCACACACCGGCUACCCUUCACCUACUGCUCCAGCACCACGCUUCAUGUACAGC